rnacentral:rRNA from 1 species
GAUGAACGCUGGCGGCGUGCCUAAUACAUGCAAGUCGAGCGAACGGACGAGAAGCUUGCUUCUCUGAUGUUAGCGGCGGACGGGUGAGUAACACGUGGAUAACCUACCUAUAAGACUGGGAUAACUUCGGGAAACCGUAGCUAAUACCGAAUAAUAUUUUGAACCGCAUGGUUCAAAAGUGAAAGACGGUCUUGCUGUCACUUAUAGAUGGAUCCGCGCUGCAUUAGCUAGUUGGUAAGGUAACGGCUUACCAAGGCAACGAUGCAUAGCCGACCUGAGAGGAUGAUCGGCCACACUGGAACUGAGACACGGUCCAGACUCCUACGGGAGGCAGCAGUAGGGAAUCUUCCGCAAUGGGCGAAAGCCUGACGGAGCAACGCCGCGUGAGUGAUGAAGGUCUUCGGAUCGUAAAACUCUGUUAUUAGGGAAGAACAUAUGUGUAAGUAACUGUGCACAUCUUGACGGUACCUAAUCAGAAAGCCACGGCUAACUACGUG